GACCCAUGAGAGCCGUUAUGUAAACAAACGCCCGUGUGUGGAUUUGAAUCUCUCACCUUCCAUGGUAAUAUCUUUACUAAAAACUACACAUAAGCCAAAACAAAAUUAUGUUACCUACAUCCCUUGUACAUGUACUUACAAUAUAAUGAUACAUAUUUUUCAAGAUUUUUUAAACAAUGACAUAAUGCCAUAAACGAUUUAAGUAUUCGAGAUUAUUUUUAUCAAAGCACCCUUCAUUACGCGCAUUCUGGUUGGUUUGUCGUAUUUUCGCACAUAACAAGCAUCGAGACGAGGACGAGUUUUCUUGGAGUUUACGGAAAGUGGCGAGAAAAACUAUAACAAAAGCAACAACCAGUCCCUCUGGAUCAGUGUCCCUUUAAAAGACACAUGGCAUGGAACGGCCGCAAAUGAAUGGCAUAUCGUUCCUUUAUGUGAAUAUUUAAGAAAUACAGUUCGCUCUACCACCAUGUAUAGUGCAAUAAAGCACACUUUCGCCCUGAACUAAUUUAGUUAAAGCACGAAGAAGCUCGCGUCUUCCUUUCCUAAGAUGCCAAAAUAAAUACUUACCGACGAUAAUCUAAGGCAGAAAAAAACCCAGAAAAGCGACGGUGUCGGCGACCUCAAUUAACAAUCCUCGUUCACAGCAAACUCACGCGCUAUUCUAUUGGAGCGUGUCGUAGAAUGAUGGAUACAUUCCUCGAACACGAUAGUGGCCUGAUAUCACUGUGCUGCUUUGAACACUAAUAUUGCAAACAGAACUAGAAUAAUGCCAACAUCACAAGCUCAGUGAUAUUGUUGAAAAGUAAAAGUUUAUUUUUUUCACUUUAAGUGAUAUGUACAAAAUGAUUAGUGCAUUAGUACCACAAAUAGUAUACGGCAAAUAAAAUAUUACUUUUGUAAAACAACAUA